rnacentral:rRNA from 1 species
UACGUAGGAUCCAAGCGUUGUCCGGAUUCACUGGGCGUAAAGGGUGCGCAGGCGGCCGUGUGUGUGAGGCGUGAAAGCCCGGGGCUUAACCCCGGAAUUGCACCUCAAACUACACGGCUAGAGCAUUGGAGAGGGUAGCGGAAUUCACGGUGUAGCAGUGAAAUGCGUAGAUAUCGUGAGGAACACCAGAGGCGAAGGCGGCUACCUGGACAAUUGCUGACGCUCAGGCACGAAAGCUAGGGGAGCAAACAGG